UUCACAGCACUGGGCUUACUGGGGAGGUUAUCUGUAGCUGCUAGGUGGAGGUGUGUGUGUGUGUGUGUGUGUGUGUGUGUGUGCGCGUGCGCGUAUACGUGCUUUGUGCAUGUGUGUAUGUCUGCAAGGGUUGUGUGUGUGUGCAUAGACUGAUUGAACGGUGUUAGGAGGUACUUGACGUGCUCGGUUUGCCAGCACGGGGCAGAAGCAGGCCGCGGGCUAACAGGUUUCUCACUUGACUUUGGGGAACAAAAGAAAGGCUCCGCUGGGGAGGCGUGAGUCAUACACUGGCCCAGCUAUUUCUGGGGACUCUGGAUCCAUCCCAUCCAGGAGACGGCACAAAGCAAAACCAGGACACCUGCUCUUCUCAGAUCACAGCUCCAUGCUGUUAACAGCGUUAGGGGGAAAAACAUCUACAGAGCCAAUCAAUCUGGCCACGUGGAAGGAAGAAAUGAACAAGUCAAGGAAGGGAAACAAACCCAGCUCCGGGAGAAGCCACUGGCUGAGGGUUCAGACACGAACCCUCACACACGAACAAACACAGCAAACAACCUCCAGGACUCCAGUUUGGAGUUUGCUGGAUAUCAGGGCAGGGGCACGGGGUCACAUGUCAGAAGGUGUCCAACCUACCCACCGCUUUGCUAUUUAGUCCAGACAAGUGAGAAGACGAGUGAGAAGAAAACACUACCAUCGGCUGUGCUGCAUGACUGGGGCCUGAAGUGGAAGCAGGCCAAACCCAGUCUACCUCCAACAUGCUCUACAAGCAUACGAGCUUCUGUUUCACUCACUGUGGUUUGCUUUUAAAGGCUAACCUGGCUAACAGCGAGCAGAAAAUGGGACUGUUUAUGGUUUUACUGACAUUGCUUUGCAUAAGUAAUCACCCCCUUGAACAUUUUCAUAUCUUGGUGGUACAUCUUGCAACUGAAAUUAACUUGUUGAAGUGUGAAGUCAAAAUAAUUAUAAUUAUUUAACUUAUCCAUACAUAAAAAAACCAAAAAUAAAUAAAUAAAUAAAAUAAAAUAAACCCCAUAGAAACUGAUAAGCAUAAGUAUUCACUAAGCAUGAGCAUUGCUGUGAACACAGUUAAAUUAGUUCUGGUGCAUUCACUUGCCAUCAGAAGCCCCCUAAUAAGUUGGGUAGAGUACAACUGUGUGAAGUUAAUGUUGGGAGCAGACUGCAUAAUAUUUUUGUCUUUCAUGAUGGUCACUACCAUGUUCGCUAUAUGUAAACAGAAGUCCUCAGAGG